rnacentral:rRNA from 1 species
CCUACGGGGGGCUGCAGUGGGGAAUAUUGCACAAUGGGGGAAACCCUGAUGCAGCGACGCCGCGUGAGGGAAAAAGGUUUCGGGACCGAAAACUUUUUCACGAAGGAAAGAAAAAAUGAUAGGUACUGAACUAAGAGGCCCAGCCCAACGAGGGGCCGGCGGCGGGGGAAAGAUGUGGGGGGGAGGGGUAAUCCGGAAUCACGGGGGUUAAAGGGUGCGUAGGCGGUAGGGCAAGUCAGAUGUGAAAGACCGGGGCUCAACCCCGGGACUGCAUUUGAAACUGUCUUACUAGAGUGCAGGAGAGGAAAUCGGAAUUCCUAGUGUAGCGGUGAAAUGCGUAGAUAUUAGGAAGAACACCAGUGGCGAAGGCGGCUUUCUGGACUGUAACUGACGCUGAGGCACGAAAGCGUGGGGAGCGAACAGGAUUAGAUACCCGAGUAGUC